UCCGUAGGUGAACCUGCGGAGGGAUCAUUACCGAGUUAGGGUCUCACCGGCCCGAUCUCCCAACCCUUUGUCUACUUGACCAUCGUUGCUUCGGCGAGCCCGUCCUCACGGACCGCCGGGGGGUUUCUGUACCCCUUGGUCCGCGCUCGUCGAUAGCCCAACCUUUAAAAUCUUUAACUAAACGUGCCCUAAUCUAAGUACAAUUAUUAAAUAAAAGCAAAACUUUCAACAACGGAUCUCUUGGUUCUGGCAUCGAUGAAGAACGCAGCGAAAUGCGAUAAGUAAUGCGAAUUGCAGAAUUCAGUGAAUCAUCGAAUCUUUGAACGCACAUUGCGCCCGCCAGUAUUCUGGCGGGCAUGCCUGUUCGAGCGUCAUUUCAACCCUCAAGCCCCCGGGCUUGGUGUUGGGGAUCGGCGUGCCCUCGCGGCGCGCCGUCCCCUAAAUCUAGUGGCGGUCUCGCUGUAGCUUCCUCUGCGUAGUAGCAACACUCGCACUGGAUCGCAGCGCGGCCACGCCGUUAAACCCCCCACUUCUGAAAGUUUGACCUCGGAUCAGGUAGGAAUACCCGCUGAACUUAAGCAUAUCAAUAAGCGGAGG
rnacentral:rRNA from 1 species